rnacentral:tRNA from 1 species
GCCGUCGUGGUGGAAUUGGUAGACACGCUAGCAUGAGGUGCUAGUGCCGCAAGGUGUGGAGGUUCGAGUCCUCUCGACGGCACCA